AAAAAAGAAAAGAAAAAAAAAAGAAUUGAAAAGAGAAAAGAGCCAAAUGGAAGGGAAAUUCCGUUGCGUAUAUUACAGUGGAAGCGGAAGGACAACCGCGGCGGUCAGUCUUAAACAAUUUCGAAAAUAUAUUUAUAUAUACCGGGGGGUCAGUUGGUAUAUAAUGUACAGUAGUUUUGUUUUUGUUUUUGUUUUUUUUUUUUGGUCGUUGCUCACACGCGAACAAAAAGAAAAUGGAAGUUUUCAGUCAAAGUAAAUAGCGAAUAAAUCAAGGUGCGAAAAUGGGUUUGGAAAAAGGAAAAAGGCGGUCGUCACUUUGAAGAGAAAUAAAAAAAUGCCCAAAAGGAGAGAGAAACAAGGCGAAAACUCACGACAAAUGGACGACAUUAUUCAACGUAAACAACAACAAAAAAAAACCCUCCAAAAAAAAAAGUACCGCAAGUUUUUUUAUUGUGCGGUGCCCGAGUACAAGAGAAAACAGGUUGUCGAGUUCGUCGACAUUUUUCUUUUAGUUGUGCAGAAGCCAAUAAGAAAAAAAAAAACAACAAACCUCAAGUCACUAUAAAAGUCAAGUUUAAAAUCAUUUCCUAUUUAAAUCGAAAAAAAAAAACAAAACAUUGGAGGAAUGAGAUUGGAAACAGGUCACGCGUGACACGCGUGAAAGAGAAAAUGACGACCAUGUGUGCAAGAAUUUCAUCAUUUGCAAUCACUAGACAAUGCCGCUUUCCUUCCAAGAACACAUUUCAAAAUCAGAAUUGAUAAUCUUUGAACGAACGCUUCUUCCAUCCGUUUCGUUCGGCCUUUCAUCGCUUUAUACGAUGAGGCUAUAAACUCAUUCGUGAAAACUAUCCAUUCAACACGUCACAUCCGGCAUUGAACACGUCACAAAUUCCUGCCUUCCGAACUAUACCGACUGCAUGUGCGGCCACGGCGGUUUCACGCCGGCUAAAAAACCUAGCCCGAAGCGGCGAAACAUUUUUUAAAAAGAAUAUGAAAUCAAAAUCAAAAUGAGAAGAAGACGCGUCAGUUUUUGCCUUAAGAACAGAAGGAAAUGACGAAGGAUUUCAAUAGUCUGGCGCGCGCAGCAAAACUUCUUCAAUUGCAAUUGUUUGGUAGGUUAUAUCUAUACCGGCUUCUUAUGUUUCAUCGGCUCCCGAUACUUUCUGUUGUAUCUUACCCAGCCACAUAAGCGGACAGCAUUUUUUAAUUUCUUUUUGUUUGAAAAUAAAACAAAAAGGGCUGCCGGGCAUUUAAAACUGGUGGGAACUUGGAAUCUUUAACACACACACACGCACACAAAGGCAGGGAGAUGUGCGGCUAAAAUAAACAGAAUAAGAACAUUGUUGUAGCUACUUGCGCGCCCAUCUUGUAUUACGUGCGGGUAUAGAUCACGUCCACCGGUUUCUCAUGUAACUGACCAGCAAUGGGCCGACCGCGGGAAUUGGCGGUACAGUCACGAGCGCUGUACAGUGUUUGGGCGUUCCGAUCGAAUGCAGCAAAAUGGAAUAUAAGAAAUAUGCGAAUAUACUUACAUAGAUUUUUUGUAUCCAUUCCAUCGCAGCGCAAGGGGUCACGUGACGCGGAAGGGACGAGACCUCAAUUCGAUCAUCCGCCAUCAUUUUCUUUUCUAUAUAUUUUUUUUCAAACGUGUUGUAUCUCAAAACAGUCGUUCCAUCGAGUCUUUUUCUUUUGGCUUUCUUCGGAUGGCUGCGCUGUUUCUCACUUCAUUUACGAUUUGUUUUUGAAAAAACAAAACAAAAACAAAACAAUCUGAUGUAACGCGUGCAUUCACGAAGAACGUGAGACUUCUGCUAUGUCGUCAACGUUUCCUAUAACGGUGCUUUCCUUUUUUUUUUUUUUAUUGUCACCAUCUGAAUUCCAUUUGGAAAAUAAAAUGUUUCGCAUUUUCUCCUUGUCUUCUCCGAAUCAUAAAAUAUAAACCUUUUGUUUGUUUUGGUUUGUCUUUUAUUUGUGUGUGUGUGUGUGUGUAAAAGGACGUGACAAUAAAAACCAGAAGAGCUUGAAAACUUCCA